CGCAGCCCGGUGUUGUGUGUUGAUGCAGGUGUCUGUAAUCAGCUGAUUCUUCAGCCUGCAGCUCCUGCUGAGAGGUUUGUGAAGAGAAGUCGACCGCACCAGUGAGCAUGGACACGGCUCUUCCUACCAGCCAAAAGGUCCAGCUGCUGCUGCUGAUGAUGGAAGAAGUCUCAUCACCUCCUCCUGAUGUGUCUCUGCCUGGCCCAGGCUGCUGUCCGUGGUGCUGAAGGCUUCCUCUCUCCGGCACAGUUUACCGGACAGUUUACCGGAGAGCUGCGAGAACAUCCAGCGGUCGCUCCCGUUCAGAUUGUCUGCCAGCAGCAGAUAUUGGUUGACGUUUGCCAGACAGCUGCGGAAACCACUCUGAUAAUCUGGAAACUCUGAAGCAGCGGCGGUGCCUGAAAGCAACGGGAAGACAUCUCAAGGAUUCUUGGACUAUUGUGCGUCGCCAGUUUUUGUCUUCAUCCUAGGGAGGUGAGGCACCGAGGAGAAUCUGUGGCCGCCCCUCGUCCUCUUGUCCUCUUGUCCUCUUGUCCUUGUCCUCGGUCCCUCGCCUCCUGAUUCUCCACACUUCUCUCUGAAAGGAGUGAAGGCUUGGGAAAGUCAGACCAGCUGAAACAAAGUCAUGACUACAGGCUCGCAGUCCACUGCGCAUCUUGGGCUCACACACAGACCAUCUGAAAACAACACUAAAUGGGGGUGAAUUAAAGCUAUAUAGACACCCACGUAUGGGAUGCCACACGUAGGCUUUGGCACUGGGGGGUUAAGGUAAAGGUGUUCAUUCUAUAUCCGAUUAUGUGUGAUUUUCCAGAAGUAAAGACAAAGUUGAGAUGGUGUGUUUUGAAAGACACGCGACAACGCUGAGAAAACCCUUUCUAACAUUUACCCGAGUCUUCUGUCCUACAAUGCGUAAAGGAGGAGCAUCUGUAUUCAGUCUGUGGAUGAAAAGAGGCCAGUUUAUAGCAGCGAGCCAUUGAUCUUUUCUUUUGGCAUGCUUUGUGACCACAAACGUGUGGGCAUCAAAAGAUUCCCUCCACUUCUAAAGUGAAGCUGCUCUUCUUCUUCUUCUUCUCCUCUUCAUUCCGUUUUGCCAAGAUAAACUCCCUGCACAAUCUGCUGUUUCAUGUCAACUAUAGUUAAAUAAAAAUGAUCAAGAAAAGCUUAAAUACAGAUAAGAAUAACAAAAAAUACGGUAAAUCUAAGACCAUUCACAUAUAAAUCACAAAUGAAACAUUUUGUUUCUGUCAUUUUGAAAUUCAGACAAAAAAAUGUCAAAUUUCUUGAAAAAAAAUGUAAAAAAAAAUGCUUUUUUUAACAGUGUGGAAUUAAUCGGAUAUAGAAUGAACACCUUUACCUAGCCCAUUGAGAGAGCAUAAAACCAGUAUGUAUGUAUGUUGGAAAAUAAAUCUGGAAUGGAUGCA